rnacentral:rRNA from 1 species
AUUGAACGCUGGCGGCAUGCUUUACACAUGCAAGUCGAACGGUAACAGGCCGCAAGGUGCUGACGAGUGGCGAACGGGUGAGUAAUGCAUCGGAACGUGCCCAGUCGGGGGGGAUAACGCAGCGAAAGCUGUGCUAAUACCGCAUACGAUCUGUGGAUGAAAGCGGGGGACCGUAAGGCCUCGCGCGAUUGGAGCGGCCGAUGUCAGAUUAGGUAGUUGGUGGGGUAAAGGCUCACCAAGCCGACGAUCUGUAGCUGGUCUGCGAGGACGACCAGCCACACGGGGACUGAGACACGGCCCAGACUCCUACGGGAGGCAGCAGUGGGGAAUUUUGGACAAUGGGCGCAAGCCUGAUCCAGCAAGGCCGCGUGCAGGAAGAAGGCCUUCGGGUUGCAAACUGCUUUUGUACGGAGCGAAAAGGCUCUCUCUAAUACAGGGGGCUCAUGACGGUACCGUAAGAAUAAGCACCGGCUAACUACGUGCCAGCCGCCGCGGUAAAAC